rnacentral:misc_RNA from 1 species
CCAAACUUGGUCAUUUAGAGGAAGUAAAAGUCGUAACAAGGUCUCCGUUGGUGAACCAGCGGAGGGAUCAUUACCGAGUGUUACAGCUCCCAAACCCACUGUGAACGUACCCAUCGUUGCUUCGGCGGGACCGCCCCGGCGCCUCCGCGCGCCGGGCACGAGCGCCCGCCGGGGGCCCGAAACUCUUGCCUCCUCGCGUGGAUUCUCUGAGUGGCACGAAAAGGGAAAAUGAAUCAAAACUUUCAACAACGGAUCUCUUGGUUCUGGCAUCGAUGAAGAACGCAGC